rnacentral:rRNA from 1 species
GACGUAGGGAGCAAGCGUUGUCCGGAUUUACUGGGCGUAAAGGACGUGUAGGCGGUUUGCUAAGUAAGAAGUGAAAUCUCUGGGCUCAACCCAGAAACUGCUUCUUAUACUGGUGAACUAGAGGAAUGUAGAGGUAGAUGGAAUUCCAGGUGUAGCGGUGGCAUGCAUUGAUAUCUGGAGGAACACCAACGGCGAAGGCAGUCUACUGGGCAUUUCCUGACGCUGAGGCGUGAAAGCGUGGGGAGCAAACAGA